AUUGAACGCUGGCGGCAGGCCUAACACAUGCAAGUCGAACGAGUGGCGGACGGGUGAGUAAUGUCUGGGGAACUGCCUGAUGGCGGGGGAUAACUACUGGAAACGGUAGCUAAUACCGCAUACCAUCAGAUGUGCCCAGAUGGGAUUAGCUUGUAGGUGGGGUAACGGCUCACCUAGGCGACGAUCCCUAGCUGGUCUGAGAGGAUGACCAGCCACACUGGAACUGAGACACGGUCCAGACUCCUACGGGAGGCAGCAGUGGGGAAUAUUGCACAAUGGGCGCAAGCCUGAUGCAGCCAUGCCGCGUGUAUGAAGAAGGUCUUCGGGUGGUAAAGCACUUUAAUUAGGGAGGCGUUACCUAACCAAGAAGCAACGGCUAACUACGUGCCAGCAGCCGCGGUAAUAC
rnacentral:rRNA from 1 species